rnacentral:lncRNA from 1 species
UAUCAACCGGUUAACAUGCGGGAGCGAUCAAUCCCACCUCAGUCGAGACACGCUUGUGGGAAUUUCUCCGUCCCAUCAUUCACGCCACGCAUAGAAGCUGGGGACGACGUUGCUGUCGAUGAACUUGUUCGUCUAUUCGGAGAUUCAAUCCGAAUGGCCAUAGCUCGUCAUGCUGAGAUACUGUCUCCUGAUAGAGAUGGAUGCGAUAUUUUCACGAGUAGUACGGAAAGUUUCAUAAAACAUUUGUGCGAACCUGAAACUAAUGCUAUAAUAAUCUCUGAUUGGAGUAGGUUUGGAUUCCACGAAGCCGAUUUCGGAUGGGGGAAGCCUGUCGGGACGAGCAUCGGAUUUGGGCCGCCGUCUAGCAACGUUGUGGUGCUGAUGAGCGACAGAGAGGGAGAUGGGAUUGAGGCAUGGUUUCAUUUGAACCAAAAUGAGAUGCCUUACUUUGAGCAAGAUGAGGAGAUCAAAAGCUUCAUGUCCUAGUAAUGAGUUCUUUGCAUUUUUUUCAACUUUUUAUGAAUAAUAUUAUAAUUCCAUCCGCCAAAUUUAGUCCGAAAUACAAAAAAAUAUAAUUUCGCCAGCCUAUUUUCAAAAUCCUAGCUCCGUCCCUGGCAUAUACGACAUUGGAUCCCUCGUUCUGAUUGGUAUGUAGUUUAUAAGGCCGUCCUUGCCAUCACAUGAACGAGAGAGACAAAGUUUGUUUUCAGGGGCAUUUACUUUUCAUGAUCGAUAAGAUAAAUGAUUUAAUAUUUUUAUCUUCAUUACUAGAAUUUUUCUUAUCCUACACUUUCAAUGACAUAAAUAAAACAAAAUUAGCUUAAAUAAUAAAAGUUAUGCAGGGUUUUGGGACAUAUUUUAAAUUUCCUACCUAUUUUAAUUAGUAAACAAGGGAUUAAUUAGCCUAUACUAUUUUAAUCUAUCUAACCUAAUCUUCAAAAGUAAACGGUUCUAGACGUUUACUUUGGGAUGAUUAAAAGAUAAAAUAUAUACUCUCAGCUCGGCAUUAUUAAUUGAUUUCAAGAAUUGAAUAUUUUCUGCAUGACUAUAUUUUUUUGUCAAGGAAAAGUCAAAUUCUCAAUGGCCAACUAAAUAGGAAUCGACGAAUAUUUGGAUAAUUAGACAAUCAGAGGUUCUUACAUAGUUAUUUUAUGUCGAAAAACGGGCAGAUCGUGGCUAAUUAAUUAUAGUUGCACGUAUAUUAGUUAAUCCCACCCUCUAAUUGCCAAUCAACAAGCUGAAAUUUAAUAAAUUAAAUUGGCCAUCAGAUCUGACACUUCUAAUUUAUAGAAGGGUAGUGCUAAAUGGCCAUAAUUAUGGCAGCCAUCAAUGUAUAUAUUAAAAUUAAUUAAAGGGCAUGUUAGUCAUCAAUUAUUUCCAUAAAAUUUUAGAGGUAUUAUGGCAGUCAUAAUUAUGGCUCCAUAUAAUUUCCCUUUAUAGAAACUGUGCUUCUUCAAAAAAAAAAUUAUAGAUGAUGGCUAAUUUAAACUCUUAGCCCAACUAAACGUUUGUGGCUAAUUUAAAUUAAAUAAUAAUUAUAUCCUUAAUUACGUAUUGAUGAUGGCAUUUAUAUUCUUGCGUAAUUAAACUGUGUUCACCAACAACUAAAAUAAUGUAUUGAUAACUUGUAAAACGUACAUUAUAUUUCUGCUAGUUAUCUUGCUAAAAAUGAAUUGGUGCAGUGAAAUAAAAGUUAAGCAAAAAUUUUGGAAAUAAAAAUUAAAAAUAUCAUGAAAUUUUUUAAUUUUAUAAAAAUAUUACUCCCGCCGUCUUGAUAACUUGUAAAAAGUACAUUAUAUUUCUGCUAGUUAUCUUGACACGUUUGUUUUCGACACGAGAAUUAAGGAUUUGUAGAUUAGUGUUUUAAGUGUGUAGGUAAUAAAGUAUACUCCCUCCGUUCUAUUAUUGUUGGCCACAUUCUUUUCGGCACGAAAAUUAAGAAAUUGAGUGUUAUGUUUUAAUUGAGUGUGGCCCACCAAAAUUAGUGAGUAAUUUUGGCAUUUUUAGAGAGUGGCCAAUAAUUGUUGACUUAAUUAGUGAGUAAUUGUUAACUUUAUUAAAAUAAACUUUGUCAUUUUUAGAAAGUGACCAAUAAUAGUGGGACAAACUAAAAAGGAAAUGUGGCCAACAAUAUUGGGACGGAUGGAGUAAAAGUUAUAAAUUAGGAGAGAGAAGAUAAUAAUUGUUACUAUAUUUAGAAACGUUUCAAGAUUCAUAGAACGGCUAAAAAAGGAAUACGUAUCAAGAUUCGUGGGACGGGGGGAGUAUUAAAAUAAUACCCCCUCCGUCCCAGUAGAUUAGUCAUGUUUUUUUUUGGCACGAAGAUUAAGAAACUUAUUUUUUGAGUGUGAGAGUGUAAAGGUGUGUGAGAGUCAGUGAGACCACAUUGUUUGUAGUGUAAAAUCAUUACAAAAAAUAAAAACAUGACUAUUCUAGUGGGACGUUCCAAAAAGGAAAACAAGACUAUUAGAAUGGAAUGGAGGGAGUAAUAUAUGAAGGUGGAACACAUAAGAUUGUGAGACAGAAAAUCCCAUCCCAUAAAUCUAGGAUUGCUUAUAUAUAGAGCUACUAGUCUUGUGUGUUUCAAGCAUAACUGUACUAAAAAAAAUGAAGAUGAACAAAAUCAGCAGCAAGUUAGUAAAGCCACACACCCCAACCUCUCCAAACCUCAAGAAUUACAAGUGCGAAGAUUUUAUUUUGGUUUUAUUUUGGAUUUUACUUUGGUUUUAUUUUGAAUUUCCGUUAUCACUUAUGGCAUUAAUAGUGCCGAAAGUGCCAACGGAAAUCCAAAAUAAAACCAAGUAAAAUAGUCAUUUUGGCACUUAUGGCACUAAUAGUGUCAUAAGUGUCAUACGUGCAACAUAAACAACAAUAAUAUAAUCAAGAAAUCAUAAAUGGAUAAUCUAAACUCUAAAUGGAAUAUCUAAACCCUAAAUGGAUAAUUAUGGAACAUCUAAACCCUACGGGGAAGUAUUUAAAAUGGCCCUUUUGGCACUUAUGGCACGAAUAGUACCAUAAGUGUCAACCGAAAUCCAAAAUAAAACCAAGUAAUAAAAUGAUGCGUAUGGCACUAUUAGUGACAUAAGUGUCAUACGUGCAGCGGGCGCUAGCUUUUCCCCGCGAGCGCGCAGCUCACCCAUAAGCCUCCAGUGGCCGGGCAAUCACCCCAGCGGCCGAGUAAAAAGGACAAAUUAGGCAUACCACCUAAUUAAUAGCCAUAUUUUGAUGUUUUAAGAUUAGAGGCCAAAAAUUAAUUUUCAAUCUUCAUCCAUUUGACUACAUUGUUUCCUAGAAAUAACUAGCUACUCAAAUAUUCUCCUUCCAGCCGCCAAAAUAGUUAGUGCCAAAGAAAAAGUCAAGUUUUCCUAGCCCCCAAAGUCCUAGCCCCUAAAGUUGAUAGUAUUUAAUUUAAAUUGACGCAAGUUUAUGGACCAAGAGUAAGAAUUAACAUAACUAAUUAAACACUUAGCCCAACUAAUCGUUUGUGGCUAAUUUAAAUUAAAUAAUAAUUAUAGCCUUAAUUACGAUGAUGGCAUAAUUAUCUAUAUUUCUGCUAGUUAUCUAAAAGUGUAUUGAUGCAAUGAAAUAAAAAAGUUAAGCAUAAUUUUUGGAAAUAAAAUUAAACAUAAUUCAUAAUAUCAUGAUAAAAUUUAAUUUUAUAAAAAUAUUAUUAGAAUAAUACUUCCUCCGUCUGCCAUGAGUAUGUCACUUUGGUUGGACACGGAAUUUAAUAAAAUGAUUGGUGAUUUUUAUGUAGUGGAGAAAUGGUCACACCAUUGCUUGAAAUGAGUUGUUGAAAUUGAAUAAGAGGUGGAUUUUUUGUAAUGGUACUUUAGAUGAAAAAAAGUGUGAAUACUCUACAGAUAGUUGACUACUCUUACUGACCAAAAUCAAUUGUGACAUACUCUUAGCGGACAGACAGAUGAGUAGUAUAUAAAGGUGGAACACUAGAUUGUGAGACAUAAAUCCCAUCCCAUAAAUCUAGGAUUGCUUAUAUAUACAAAGCUACUAGUCUUGUGUGUUUCAAGUAUCAAUCAUUAAAAAAAAAUGAAGAUGAACAAAUCAGCAAUAAGUUGAUAAAACCACACACCCCAACCCCUCCAAACCUCAAGAAUUACAAAUUAUCGUUUAUCGAUGAGCUUCUUCCCCCGGUGAAUUUAGCUGUUAUUCUGUUUUACGAAUCGAAACCGGAAAACGGCAGCCUCCGGUUGGAAGAAUCACUGGCCAGAAUCUUGGUUGAAUUCUAUCCUCUUGCAGGAAGAUUCAUCAAGAAUUAUAGUUCGGUUGAUUGCAGCGACCACGGAGCCGAGCUCGUCGAAGCAGAGGCUCUAGAUGUCGAGCUGAUCGAUCUCGUCUCAAAAAUCGAGAUCGAUCAGCUCCACGACCUCCUCCCGGACACACAUUUCCGACAAGCCGAAACUCCUGAUAAUCCAAUCCUCUCAAUCCAGAUCACACGUUUCUCGUGUGGUGGGGCCGCCAUCGCCAUCAGCGUCUCCCACAGGGUCUUCGACGGGUCCUCGCUUGGGACGUUCGUGGCCGCCUGGUCGGAUGCCACCAACCCUGAUCACGAUAGGAGGGUAAACCCGUCUUUUCAUCUCCCCACGUUGCUUCCAUCCGUGAUCCGCAACGACAAUCGGUGUUCAGCAGAGUGUCGGCGCGGAUCACAAGGUGGUUUUGAAGAGGGUUUUUCGACAAGGAGGCUUUAACGAGGCUGAAAUCAAGAUUAAGCCAAACCUACGGAAAACCCUUAUCCGGAGCGCAUGUUGUGUGUGCCGUCAUAGCGAAAGCCCUGAUCCGCCUGCACGGCAGAAGCAGAAGCCACGUCGUAUUUCAAGCGGUUGACAUGCGGGAGAGAUCAAUCCCACCUCAGUCGAGACACGCUUGUGGGAAUUUCUACGCCCCAGCAGUGACGCCACGCAUAGAAGCUGGGGACGACGUUGGUGUUGAUGACCUUGUUCGUCUAUUGGGAGAUUCUGUUCGAAACGCCAUAACUCGUCAUGCUGAGAUACUGUUUCCUGAUAGAGAUGGACGUCAUAUCUUCACAAAUAGUAUGGAAAGUUGGAUGAAACAUUCGUGCGAACCUGAAACUAAUGUUAUAGCAUUCUCUGAUUGGAGUAGGUUUGGAUUCCACGAAGCUGAUUUCGGAUGGG